rnacentral:rRNA from 1 species
AUUGAACGCUGGCGGCAUGCCUUACACAUGCAAGUCGAACGGCAGCACGGGAGUAAUCCUGGUGGCGAGUGGCGAACGGGUGAGUAAUAUAUCGGAACGUGCCCAGUCGUGGGGGAUAACGCAGCGAAAGCUGUGCUAAUACCGCAUACGAUCUAAGGAUGAAAGCGGGGGAUCGCAAGACCUCGCGCGAUUGGAGCGGCCGAUAUCAGAUUAGCUAGUUGGUGGGGUAAAGGCCCACCAAGGCGACGAUCUGUAGCUGGUCUGAGAGGACGACCAGCCACACUGGAACUGAGACACGGUCCAGACUCCUACGGGAGGCAGCAGUGGGGAAUUUUGGACAAUGGGCGCAAGCCUGAUCCAGCAAUGCCGCGUGCAGGAUGAAGGCCUUCGGGUUGUAAACUGCUUUUGUACGGAACGAAAAGACUCUUUCUAAUAAAGAGGGUCCAUGACGGUACCGUAAGAAUAAGCACCGGCUAACUACGUGCCAGCCGCCGCCGUAAUAC